rnacentral:misc_RNA from 1 species
CCUCACGCCACCUUUAGCUUAUUUCCUUUGAAUUCUCUUUCCAAAAAGCUUAGCUCCAAUCUGUUCUUUCGCAGCCCAUGUCUUAUUUUCUCGAGGUAUCCAAAACAAUGGUGUGAGAACCCAAUAGAAGAGGCAUUUAGACAUGUUCUGCAAACAAUUUCAAAGAAUUUGGAUGGCCUUGUAAUAUUUCCUUGCACCCUUUUUCCUAUUUGUUUAUUUUGUACUGUGCUUUUUGGAGAAAGUGGAAUUUUUAGUUUCUGAUAGUCUUCAUCGUGUAAUAUAAAUUACGGGCAAGUAGGUGCACUGGAUCUUCUGGUGAAAAAGUUGCUACAUUUCUUUUUGUCAAGAGUGGCUAAUUGAUGCUUUCAGUUAAAGGUUCAAUUUCAUGCCUAUACCACCUAGUUAGUUUCUUCUAAACCUAGAUAAAAGCUAUGUUAAUAAUUUUCAGAUCUUUUUAUCAGUCAAAAACUUAAAAUCAAGAUGUCUCAAUUUCAGAUGUUAAUGUUGGAGGCAGUCCAAGUAUAUCUAUCAAAUAUUUACCAAACCACUGCCUUGUUUUCUUGUCAUACAUGGCUUUAAUUAUUUUUUUCAGUGUUUUUCAUUUUCUUUUGGGAUGCUACAUUUUGACACAGGAGGUUAGGGGCCUUGAUUGCCAGAACUCCCAAGCAAUGACAGAAUCAAUGCUGGUUCUAGAUGAUUUUUAUGUCUCAAAAAAAUCAACCUCAAAGCAUAACUCAACAAGGGAAUAUCAAAUGAAGGCUUCCACUAAAUCAUAUGUUGGUUUGCUGAAGUUUGUGCUUCUGUUUGGGUACUUAACACUUCAAGGCUCUCAUCAGGCAUUUGCAGGAACAGAUUUUGCCAGUGGAUUGCAGUCUCUUCCUUAUUUAGGGGACCUUGGUGAUAUUACCACAGGUUUUGCUUCAGUUAGGAGAAUCUCCCUGUACCUUUUGUAACUGACAUUUUAUUAUGGAACUAAAACAAAAAUCGUAGCUGCUUCUAAGAUAAUAUACUGAUUUUCAUUAAUUUUUAAUAUGUUCCAUAAUGUUUAAAUAUGGUAAUUUUAAAUUUAUCACAAAAACAUUUGAGGCAAAGAUUUGACCCAUGUCCUGCCUUCAAUAUUUGUAAGCAAUCCUUUUUUAUGCAAAACUUAAUUUUUUCAUAACAAAACUGAGUCCAAUGUAUGCAUCAUAAAUAAAAGAUAUCAGUCUAAUCUAUUUAUUAUAUUCCUGCAGAAAGAAUAUUGAAAGAAACACACUGUUCAUUUUUCCUUUUAUCACAGAAACUUCUUCAUGCAGAAAUAUCCACCUAUGGCAACUAAAGUCUUCAAUUCUCCUUUUUUGUUUUUUUUGGUGCGUUGUGUGUGUGCAUUACAGGCAUUCUUGCUGAUAUUUUUCUCAGAACUGGGAGACAAGACCUUUUUCAUAGCGGUAAGAAUGAACUAAGUGGAAUUCUGUUGUGAAACACAAUCAUUGAGCCUUUCCAAAUACAACUUUUUUGUUUUAUGCUAGAUCUGCUGUAGAAUUUUUUAAGUUGCAAUCUCAUUACAUAUGGGAGCUCAUUUAGUGCCUUGCUAAGAUUAGAUUUUUGGAACAUACAGCUAAAGGUUAUGUGGAUGUUUUAUGCCUUGUUCAGGCACUUUUAGCAGCUAGGAAUUCUGCUGCAAUUGUUUUCACUGGGACCUUUGGUGCACUUGCGUACGUUUUCUGCUCAAGAAUGGUGAUUUUAGAUGUCCUUUGAAUUUUAACUUUAUCAUAAUGAAACUCUGUAUAGGUCCAUAUAACAAAUGAUUUAGUAUUGUGCCAUGAUAAUUGGAUUGCUUCAGGAAGUGAAUCUUGGAAGGAAGCCUCCUCUACAUUAAAAGUUAGUAAUUUAACAUCAAUAGACUAGCAAUCUUAGCCAAAGUAGGGCUUCCCAACUGACCCUGUGGGGUAUUUUCAUAUAAAAUAUUUAUAUGUUGCAGUGCUUUUUCCUCUUAUCUUCUUAUAGUUGAACCUAAUAUGAAAUCAAAGACCUCAGAAAGCUGUUCUACAAUUCAUGCACAUGCCAUUAUCCAUUUCUAAAAACACUUUUCUUAUUUUACUGCUAUAAAAUAAAGAUGUUGAUUAUAACAGAAGUUCCAUAUGGCAUUGCAGGGCAAUGACUAUCAUAUCCGUUGUUCUUGGACGAAGUUUUCAUUACAUUGAUGAAAUUCUUCCAUUCAAAUUUGGUGAGAAUGAUCUGCCUGUUGAUGAUAUUGCUGCAGUUUGCCUUCUAGUAAAUUUUCUUGUGCCCUGAUUUUUUUUGUUUUAAAGAAACAUACGAUUCCUAGUAAACUCUUAAAUAUAAGCAGCAUAAUGAGCUAAUGUGAGUGAAUUCAGGUAUAUUUUGGGGUUUCAACGCUGAUUGAUGCUAACUCAAGUGAUGGUCUAAAAGCAGACGAUGAAAAAAAGGAGGUGAAAUUUCAAGUUCACUAUAUGAUCUGUUCAGAGUUAACCUCAUCAAUGACAAAUCCCCCUUGGCAAUAUUGAAAGGACAGGAAAAGGGUUGACCUGCCAUGGAUAUUCAGUCAUUGAACUUUGGCCUUUUUUAUCUUUUCCCAAAUGCAUUACAGUCUUCCAGUUACUAUUUAGUGGUCAGAGUUAAUUUGAUCAGAUGUUUUGUUUAUGAUAUGAGCUAGGCAGAGCUAGCAGUUUCAGAAUUCGCAGGAAAUGGUGCUGGCAUUUUAGCAGCUGCUAACACCAUUAUCAGUACUUUCCUCUUGGUUUUUGUUGCUGAAUGGGGUGACAAAUCAUUUUUCUCCACGAUAGCCCUUGCAGCAGCAUCUUCGCCUAUCGGUGUCAUUGGUGGAGCCCUGGCUGGCCAUGGUGUUGCAACUUUGGUAACUUUUUACUUGAAAAAAGAUGUAACCCUAGCUCUGCCUGCAACAGUAGUAGGCUGUCACAUAAGCAUAAAUUGCACAUUUGUUGUAAAAUAAAUAGCCACUCUGCUUUGCAAAAUGUUCUUUGAAGAAUUUACUAUUGCAACAAGUUGAAUGUGCAAAUUUUAUAGUUUCAGUUUGUGGAUAAUAAUAAUAAUUGAAGUAAACGUGUUAUUGAUAGAUUUACCCUAUCUCUUUCUGUUCCCUUUUCUUACAAGAAAGAUGGAUAAUUAAAGUUUUUUUUCCUCACUGCAAAUUCACCAAUUUUUUUCCUUUUCUUCUUUUCACAUGUAAAUUGAUUGGCCAUGCUGAUUUGCAAUUUUAUUUGUACAGAUUGCUGUUUUGGGAGGUUCUUUGCUUGGGACAUUCUUGUCAGAAAAGGUAGAUAUAAAAACUUUCAACACUAUCUACAGUCAAAACACAUUGCAUUGUCUUGUCUCCCUCUCUCUACUGCUCAUUUAUGAUUAUCAUAUGGUGCUAUAAAUUUCCAGCUCUAAUUGACCUUACUUUUGUUUCUCAAAAUAUUUUGUAAAUCAUCUAGGCAUAAAUCAGAAGUUGAAACUUUAUUAGCUACAAAUUUAUUCCAGGAGUUGUCAUAAUAAAUCUCUAUCCAAACUAAUUGGUGACAUCAGCAUCUCAACCUUCUGCCAUAAAUCCUGUACAACUAUAAGCCUCCAACUAAACUCAACAAAGCUUUAAUCCAAACUAGUUGGGGUCAACAAAAUGGAUCAUUUUCUUCAAUUCAACUUGGUUUAUGGCAGCAUCUUCAAGAAGAUUUAGAGCUACUAAGCCCUUAUUCACUCCAUUUUACAUAACAAUUUGUUCUUCAGGUUCUAGAAACACAUAGCAGCCCACUAUCAUAGUACAGAAUUAUUUCAUUAGAAUAUUAGAUUUUUGAUUUCUAUGUGGUGUAAUGAAAGUUGUAAUGGAACUAGUUACCACUACAUUGAAUUUAGCCAUUAGGCUUCAUUUCUAUUUUGGUAUAAAUUGUCUGGUCCAAAGUCUAGAAGCGGCAACAUCAUGUUAUUUGUACCUUGUAAAGGUUCCAUUGUUGGACCAAUGUGAUCAGGCAACCACAUAAAUUUUAUCCCUUGGGACUUCACCAGAAGGAAUAUCUAUGCUAGUGGGCUGCAUGCCUUUGUAGGACAUCUUCAUACCUUGAAAUGAAUUCCCACACAAUCAUGCAUGAAUUCUACUUCUUUUAAAAUAAAAAAUUUUUUAAGUUAAAAAGAAAUUAGUUCUUUCAUUCCAGACAUGAAAAUUAGCAAAAAAGAAAUCAAUUGAAUUGA